rnacentral:rRNA from 1 species
GUGGGGAAUAUUGGACAAUGGGCGAAAGCCUGAUCCAGCCAUGCCGCGUGUGUGAAGAAGGUCUUCGGAUUGUAAAGCACUUUAAGUUGGGAGGAAGGGCAGUAAGUUAAUACCUUGCUGUUUUGACGUUACCGACAGAAUAAGCACCGGCUAACUUCGUGCCAGCAGCCGCGGUAAUACGAAGGGUGCAAGCGUUAAUCGGAAUUACUGGGCGUAAAGCGCGCGUAGGUGGUUCAGCAAGUUGGAGGUGAAAUCCCCGGGCUCAACCUGGGAACUGCCUCCAAAACUACUGAGCUAGAGUACGGUAGAGGGUAGUGGAAUUUCCUGUGUAGCGGUGAAAUGCGUAGAUAUAGGAAGGAACACCAGUGGAGAAGGCGACUACCUGGACUGAUACUGACACUGAGGUGCGAAAGCGUGGGGAGCAAACAGGAUUAGAUACCCCUGUAGUCC